AGAUCUGUGGCAUCCAGAAUCUAAUUAUUUAUUCUCUACCUAAGAGGAAAGAAUUUUACCCUGAGGUUCUCAAUAUGCUUGAAGGAUCUCGUGACAUGACUUCUACUGUACUCUUUUCGAGAUUUGAUCAGCUGAGGCUCGAGAGGAUUGUUGGAAGCGCUGCAGCAAAGAAGAUGACAUCAUCGGAGAAGGGCCUCUUUAUCUUUAAAUGAUAGAAUUUUGCUUGCUUGUUUUAUGAACUAAUAGC